rnacentral:misc_RNA from 1 species
GCCGCAACCAAGCUGGCAUUCCUUAGAGGUGGCGGAGGAGGACCUGUUAUCUGAGAUACCUUUUCUUCGAAUUUUGUACCAGAUGUUUGUAAAAUAGCAUGAUUGUUUGUAUCGUGACACCGAAUGGCUGCUAAUGUUAUUCUCCAAAUAGCUUCCGUUCAACUUAGCGGGACCCCAUCUCAAGCUGGUUUUUGUGUUAAAAUGUUUGUAAAUGCCCGCUAUUAUGUCAUAGACAAAACUGU